AAGAAUAAAUAUAAAGGAGCUGCUAACUACCUUUCAAGUGAUAAACACUUUAUUCUUA
rnacentral:tRNA from 1 species